UUCCGCGCCUGCGCGCCAAGACGCAUCGGAUGCCGGCGGUCUCUGCUGAAGAGAGAAGAUGGCGCUUGACGGACCAGAGCAGGUAUGGCGGGUGGCUGGACCAGUCCAGGCUGGACGCUGCCUGCGACCGGAUCUGCUGUGUCAGCGCCACCCUCGGUGAGUCAGGGCAAGGCUGGGAGAGGAAGACGCGGUAGAAGCGGAGUGAGUGAGGGGAGCGAUGGGCGCGGGAAUGGCCGGCCGACGGGUCGCAGGAGACGGGACGCCAGUCCUUUGGCUCCGUUCCGCUGGCUCCGUCGUCAGUACUGACACCUCGGGCUUGUAGAGCACUUCACGCAGUGCAAAGCGCCCCCGUGUAUAUCAUAUCGCCUCUCGGUCUUCCUAAAAGUCGUAUGA
rnacentral:sRNA from 1 species